rnacentral:misc_RNA from 1 species
GUGUCAUGGCGCACUUAGAAUAAUGUUGUGAAAUGUAAACUUAAAUCAUUAUGUAAAUAAUAGUAUAAUUGUUAUUUUAUGUAUACAUUAAGUUCAGUGAAGUGUACACAUAUGUGAUUACGAUGGAAGAUGAUAUUUGUGAUGUGACAUCAAAGGACUGGUUACUGCCUGCAUGUACUUCCCUGGCACAGCUGGAGCAGGUCAGCACUUCUGUGUACAACAUUAGACUCGGGGAGCCAAUCAGUGCUAUUGCCAAGAACACUCACCAGAAGUCACAAACUAGAUCCUUGUAUGACAAAAGAGCAUGGGGUAGCAAUACAUCAAUCAAUGGUCUAACAAAUCAGACACAUGAGACCUACAGACAAACUAGAAAACAGAUUGUUAGCAAACCGGUGCGGCCAUCAAGUGCAAAGAAUUACAGAACUGCUCAGCUGACAUCCAACAAGAAGAUUCGUCCACAGAGUGCCAAGAAUGUGUCCCACUCAUCCAGGUCGGAAAUUAAGCCACCACUUAUUGCUGUAAAAGGCUCCAAGUAUGAUCAGAACAGUCGACCUCCUAAAAGACCAGUGCACACCACAGUAUCAGAGGGAUGGGUGGGGCCACCAGCAGGAGUCAAGAUGGAUGAUGUCAUUAAUAUUAUUUCUGACUCAGAGUCUUUCAUACAGACAGACAAAGCCAAGUUUGAGCUAUGCAAUGAAAAUAUCCCACCCCCACCUCAGGCCACCCCAGAACCAGAAUCAACGUUGGAUGGAUUUAGUGAGGUUGAAUCCAUUGUAUCAGAGAAUGAAGUGGAAGCAGUAUUACAACGUAAGCCAACACAGGAAUCGAUUCAUCUUUCCCUGCCUUCAGCUGGAGAGGAGGAAGAAGAAGGGUCGGAGUGGGACACAGAAAGAGUAUUGCAGGAAGUACAAGCUCUUUCACUGCAACGACAGGAGGUCACAGUUAAAUACCAUCACCAGUCUGAUUUGUCUUGUCACCAAGCAAGCAUGAUGACUGAUCCACCUGCAAGCAAUGAACUUGUCAAGCCCAUGGAGAAACCAGAAGAAUCUCAUAGAUCCAGGAGCCCAAGUUCAUACAACAUCAAUGAGAGAACAAUCAUGUUGUCAGCAAACACUGCACACCGUGAAGCUCAUUUAAGUUCUAAACCAGCUCACAUAAGUGGCACUCACUGGGAUCAUUCUAGAGGUGGAAGUGUUAGGAUUUGUGAGGACAAAAAUAUAACAUUCCACAUUACACCCAGAAACAGAGGAUACAGAGUAAAUAAUAAGAUAGCCAGAUGUUAUUCAAAUCUUCAGUCCAAAACAAGAAAAAUGGAUUUGACAAAUAUCAAGAGUCGUGUAAAUACGGGAAUCGACGUCCAGGCGGUCAUUGCUGAGCAGAAAAGUAAGCAAAGCUUUUCAACUACUAAUACAGAUAACUGUAAUCAUCUAGGUUUGGAAGUAAAUGCAAAAUCAGUAGGAAAGAAAGUUAACAUGAAACCAUCAUCUGUACCCAUAGUAAUGGUUAAAUAUAAUAAUGAACAAAGUGAUGCAUCAAGUUCUGACAAACCUGUUGGACACAGAAGGAAACACGAAGUUAUUACUAUGGUUUCGCAGUUCGACCUGUCCGAUAGUGAAGAUGAUAGGUUGAAAGAGAGAAGUCCUGAACAAACUAACAAAAAGGAAUCUUUACAAACACCAUCAGCCAUGCAGCUAGUUCGAUCAAGUCCAGUAAAGAAUUAUUAUGAAGUGGCUAUGCGAACUGAGCAGGGUAAAAAACUUGAUGACAGUGACAAUUCUACUGAUAAUUUUUUAUACAAAACUAUAAAGACAAUUGAGUUUGAUGAGAUUGGACAUUCACCACGAGAAAGCACAGUUAAAAGUAUAAUUCCAGGCACAACGUCAGUGACCAAACCGAGACAAAAGCUAGCAGUUAGUGUUGACUAUUUAGGUCGACAGAGAUCUGCAUCAUUAUCAACGCAAAAGGCUGACAAGACUUCAAUUUUAAUUCCUGGCUCUCCACAAUCAGAAAAGAAUGAAAAACGAGAGAAGAGUGAAAGUACUGAGAAAAGUGGUAAUACAGUGGUAGAAAACAAAGUACUGUACGACACAAAUCAAAACAGAAUACCAAGAGUAAGAAAGACUCGUCAUCAAAGCAAAUACCUGUCUUUGCCAAGUCAUCAAAAACCAGCACGAAGAAGAAACAUUUGGCAAUGCAAAGACAAUGAGACUGAAAGCAUUUCCUCUGAAUGUACAGAUCUGUCAACAACAACUGCUGAGCCUAUGGCAGAUGAGAUAUUUGACAAAUCUCAUUCAACAUCCCCAGAGAGUACACGACCUAACAGCGGCAUAUCCAACAAGUCUUUGAGUCGACCAGCCUCUUGUUUUGAAGCAUCUCUUCACAGAAUGAAAUCAUUUGACACUCGCCGCAUACAAUCAGCUGCCCUGGCUGCAGAAAGAGAACACAAGAAAUAUGCAGUGUAUACCCGUUCCUUUGCCCGGCGACAGAUCAUGCAGAGUCCACCUCCACUAAAAGAUGUUGUAUAUCUCAACACUAAGAAACACCCAGAUGCUGAAUCAGAAGAAACACUUGCCUGUCAAGAAAUGAAGGACAAACUAGCUGGGCUUGGCUUGAAUAUUAAAGCUGAGACACUGGAAAGAGCGCUGUUUCCUCCAUCUGGCAAGACACUACACUAUGAAAUGCAGAGAGACGUCCUACGUUCUCCAGCUGCUGGUUUAUCAUUUAGAUGUUUAGUUGUUUCAAAGUUUUAUUGAGCAAUCAGAAGUGGAAGUAAACAGGCCACCAUCACAACCUCUGUAGUGGAGUCAAGACACUAUGAUUUAACCCGGGUUAGCCAUCUACACAGGAAAUUAAGCAGAGCUAUAAAGGCUUUUAAGCCACCCCAAAUUCUGGCUUCCUGCUGAAUACAUGAAGCUAAAAAUAGCAGAAAAACAAUUGGCUCGGGCAGAACAUACACUGUGGCUCCAGAAAAAGGAGGAAGAACGAGA